AGCAGCCGCGGUAAUUCCAGCUCCAAUAGCGUAUAUUAAAGUUGUUGUGGUUAAAAAGCUCGUAGUUGAACCUUGGGCCUGGCUGGCCGGUCCGCCUCACCGCGUGUACUGGUCCGGCCGGGUCUUUCCCUCUGUGGAACCCCAUGCCCUUCACUGGGUGUGGCGGGGAAACAGGACUUUUACUUUGAAAAAUUAGAGUGCUCCAGGCAGGCCUAUGCUCGAAUACAUUAGCAUGGAAUAAUAGAAUAGGACGUGCGGUUCUAUUUUGUUGGUUUCUAGGACCGCCGUAAUGAUUAAUAGGGGCAGUCGGGGGCAUCAGUAUUCAAUUGUCAGAGGGGAAAUUCUUGGAUUUAUUGAAGACUAACUACUGCGAAAGCAUUUGUCAAGGAUGUUUUCAUUAAUCAGGAACGAAAGUUAGGGGAUCGAAGACGAUCAGAUACCGUCGUAGUCUUAACCAUAAACUAUGCCGACUAGGGAUCGGACGAUGUUAUUUUUUGACUCGUUCGGCACCUUACGGGAA
rnacentral:misc_RNA from 1 species